AUGCCCCCACUCACUCUCUCACUCGCUCCGUUCUCCCUCUCGCUCUUGCAUUGCCAUUCCCCGCUCUCCACGAUCUACGCAGCUCCCCACCCCAACCCCCGCCCCGAUACUUCUCCGUUAUUGGUGAGGAGACAAGGAGGGGUUGAUUGGGUGUGGGUGAUGGGGCGGGGCUGAUUGCGGAGGUUCGUUUGCAGUGAGUGUAUUCCAGGUUGCGUUGCGGGUGCAGUUAGGUUAUUGAAGAUGAGCCGAUUUGAUGGCCGAUAUGGCGAUCCUUCGUCGUUUCGCGACAGGAAGAGUGACUUUGGAGGAGGUGGAGGAGGAUACGGUGGGGGAGGAGGUUAUGGCGGUGGUGGCAAAGGGGGCGGUGGAUACGGUGGACGAGGAGGAGGCGGGCGAGGAGGUUAUGGUGGGAGCAGCAAGCGUGAUUUGGACGACAUAGCGUUGCCAGCGCAGGAGUUCGAAAACCUAAUUCCAUUCGAGAAGAAUUUCUACGUGGAGCAUCCGGCCGUGUCUGCUUUGACCGAGGAGGAGGUUGCAGCUUACAGGCGAAAGCGAGAAAUAACUGUGGAAGGUCGGACCGUUCCUAAGCCCGUCCGCACGUUCGAGGAGGCGUCAUUUCCAGAUUAUGUGCUGCAUGAGGUGCUGAAGGCAGGGUUCACGGAGCCAACAGCUAUUCAAGCGCAAGGCUGGCCCAUGGCUUUGAAGGGGCGCGACUUGAUCGGGCUGGCAGAAACCGGGUCCGGAAAAACACUGGCAUAUCUGCUGCCGGCUAUUGUGCAUGUGAAUGCUCAACCGUAUCUGGCUCCUGGAGAUGGGCCGAUCGUGCUGGUGUUGGCCCCUACUCGUGAGUUGGCGGUGCAGAUUCAGCAAGAGUCGACGAAAUUUGGGGCGUCUUCGAAGAUCAAGAACACGUGCAUAUACGGAGGUGCCCCGAAAGGGCCACAGAUCCGCGACCUGCAGAAAGGGGUUGAGGUUGUGAUUGCAACACCGGGUCGUUUGAUUGACAUGCUGGAAGGUCGACACACGAAUUUGCGGAGAGUGACGUACUUGGUGUUGGACGAGGCCGAUCGAAUGCUGGACAUGGGGUUUGAACCGCAGAUUCGGAAGAUUGUAUCGCAGAUUCGACCAGAUCGUCAGACGCUGUAUUGGAGUGCGACAUGGCCGAAGGAAGUAGAGUUCCUUGCGAGGCAGUUUUUGAACGAUCCGUACAAGGUGACGAUUGGUUCGUCGGAUCUGAAAGCCAACCAUGCGAUAGACCAAGUUGUGGAGGUGGUGUCGGAACACGAAAAGUAUCCCAAGUUGAUCAAGCUGUUGGAAGAGAUAAUGGAUGGAAGCAGGUUGCUGGUAUUCAUGGAGACGAAACGCGGGUGCGAUCAGGUGACGCGGCAGCUGAGAAUGGACGGUUGGCCUGCGCUGUCGAUCCAUGGCGACAAGUCCCAGGCAGAGAGGGACUGGGUUUUGUCGGAGUUCAAAGCUGGGAAGAGUCCUAUCAUGACGGCCACUGAUGUCGCUGCGCGUGGUUUGGGUAUGUGCGGGAGAGGAUUUGAUAUGAAGCGUUGCGUGCGAUUGGUUGGGAGGGAAGGGUGCGUUGGGUUUGUGUCGUGAAUGGAGAUGGAAGGCGUGUGUGUUGGUUUUGGCAGUGGCUUGGUUGUGUCGUAAUCGAGUGACUGUGUUGGAGGUGGCGUCAGGCCAGAGAUCGGGUGGUGGAUGUUCGUGGCGUGGGUGUCACAUGUGUCGAGGUCGAGGUCGUGGUUGUGCAAAUUGGAAGUGGAAGGGACUUGCUGUGAUGUGCUGGGGGUGGUGGUCGGUCGUGUCGUUCGUGGAUGACGUUGCAGUGCAGUGAGCGAUGGCGCGGAUGGUAUUUGGGUUUGUUGCGCAAAGCACGUGUGUGGUGUGAGGGCUUGGGAGAUGGUGGUGGCAGUUCAGUGGAGAAUGUGUUGGGACGGUGUGGAUGUUGUGGCACGGAGACUGGGAGUCGGGUGGGGCAAGUUGGUACAUCCGGUGGGAACGAUGCGUAAGGAGCGUGUGUGGGAGGGAGUCGGUCCCGAUGGGUGUGACUGGGGUCGGAGGUGUGUGUGAUGCAUGGGGAAGUCGCGUGCGUCGUGUGAAUCGGUCAUGUAGGGCUCAUGUGGUGGUGGGGGGGAGUCGAAGUCGUAGAAGAAUGGUGGGGCGGCUCCGGCGGGGCGUUGGAGGCGCCCGGGGAAAGAGCAGCGAGUAGGGGUGUGAGGGAAGCGGGAGCGUGUUGAGUUGUGGGGUGUGGGAGGAGUUGGUGGAAGGAAUGGAGGUAAGCGGGGUGCGUGUGGUUGGGGCGUCGAGCAGGGGCACGGUGUUGGAGGUGGUGGGUUGAUGUGGUUUGAAGUGUGAUGUGUGGUAUGGCGGGGAUUUGGUGUGCGUGGGCGUACGAUGUGGAAUGGUGGGUUGAGUGGUAGGAUCUAACAUGGUGAGGUAGGAUGAGUGAGCAGUGGAAAAUGGGAGUGGGAGAAUGGGGUGCGGUGUCUUUGUUGUUCUGCAGGGUGCGUGAGAAUGCGGGCGGGCUGUAGGCCAGCUGGCAUCCUGAUGGCAUGAUAGUGGCGUGGCGGCGGUUCUUGAUGCUCUUAUUAAUUUUUUUCUGUGGGAAGGAAGAAAGGGGCAGUGCAUGGGAGUGCGAAAGAGAGACACUGCCGCCGCCACGGCGACGCUCCACACCUGCUUUUUUGGAUCGCUGGCUUACUGUGUGCAGCCCGGUCGCCACACUCAUUCAUCCGGUGCAGACACCGCGUUGUGUGGUCUAGAGCGUUGCAAGGUGGGCAUCCACAGCGCGCCCCGCGAUUGGGCGGAUGUGAUGGAUGGGACUGACGAAGACGAAGGAGGAUCGGAAGUGGGUGACGGUAGAUAAUGUGGCGGUGUUGGUUGGGAGUAGUUGAGGCGAAGGAUGGGAGUGAUGCGGAGUUGGAGAGGGUUGUGACGAACGUAAGAGCGUGGGAGGAGGGGGAGUUGGUAGCGAGCGGGAGUGAUGUGAUGUGGGGGUUGGUAGUUGAGAGGGGGUUGGAAGAUGGAUGGGGUCAGGACGGGACGGGAAGGGAGGGAGUUGGGUUAGGCGUAGGUCAGUGGGUUGGAUUGUAUUCCAUGCGUUUGGAGGGUGCGAGUUGUGAGCGACGUAAUCUAUGUUGAGCGGGGUGGUCGCGGUGAUGGUGGGAAGGAGAGCACGGCGUUGUGGGAGAAUGUGGGCGGUGGUUGUGCAGUAGAUGGCAGAGUGGGGUGCGCAGAUAGGGAACGGGGAGGAUGGUGAGAGAUUGAUGGGCGUAUGGCGCAUGGUUUUGGGUUGGUUCGGUGGUUUUUGUUUUGUAGAGCAGUGUGUUGUGGAGAGAUUCUGAACCAGUCUGAGGAAGAGUACAUGCGUGACUAGGCGAUGAGGUGGGACGAUGUGAAGGAUAUCAAGUGCGUGAUCAACUACGACUUUCCGGGU